rnacentral:lncRNA from 1 species
AGAAGAGUGGAGGUGUGGUGGCUAUGAGAGGUGGUGAUUAGUGGAAGGAGGAUUGGGUCAUGGUGAAGGAAAAAAAUAUGAUUAAAAAGAGUGGUGGUUGUGGUGGUUGGCCAAUAUGGAGAGAAAAAGGUGAGAAAAGAAAUGAAAAAUGGAAGAAAGUAAGAUGGAAAGAGAGUAUGAAGGGCAGUGGAAGGUGGAAUGCAUGGUAAACCUUGGCCCAGUUCAAUGUAUCUUGCAAAUAGGUAAGCUGUGAAGUUAUUGUAAGGGAGGGGGCCUGGAGUAAAAAGGUGAUCA